CUUUUAAAGGUUUUCUUCAACGGUAGUAUUAAAAUAAGUAUGUAAAGGGUGAUUUUUUAAGAGCUAUAGGAAAGUUUUUCAAAGUAAAAUUCAGAAAAGUGCAUGAAAUUUUAAUAUUUGAAGAUUAUUUCAUGCAAAUGUUGACCGCGACUGCGCUUCAAAUGGUCCAUCCGCUUAGUCCAAUUUUGGCAUACUCUUUCCAAUGUUUCGGCCGGUAUCUCACAUAUAAAUGCUCUAAUGUUGUCUUCCAAUGCGUUAAUUGAAGCAGGCUUGUCUGAAUAGACAUGAGCUUUAACAUAACCCCACAAAAAAUAAUCUAAAGGCGUUAUAUCGCACGAUCUGGGUGGCUAAUUGACGGGUCCCGAACGUGAAAUAAAAUGUUCCCCGAACUCGCCUCUCAACAAGUCCAUUGUUACGCGUGCUGUGUGGCAUGUGACACCGUCUUGCUGAAACCACAUGUCAUGUACUAUAAGUCAAGCUCUUGCAUUUUGGUCAAAAAAAAGUUGGAUAUCAUUUCACGGUAGCGCUCACCAUUCACAGUUAUGUUACGAUUCGCAGCUUCUUUGAAGAAGUACGGUCCAAUGAUACCUCCAGCCCAUAAACCGCACCAAACAGUGACCUUUUCUGGAUACAUUGGUAGCUCUUGCAAUUCUUCUGGCUUAUAUUCACUCCAAAAUCGACAAUUCUGCUUAUUUACGUACCCAUUGAUCCAAAAAUGAGCUUCGUCGCUGAACACAAUUUUUCGAUAAAAAAGUUGAUCUUCGGCCAACUUUCCAAGAGCCUAUUCACCAAAAAUUCUGCGUUGCGGUAGGUCGUUCGGCUUCAAGCUGUAUUUUGAAAGACUUCACACCUAAAUCCUUUCGCAAAAUUUUCCACGUUGUUGAGUAACAGAUUGCUGCGAACGGCGAUGAAUCGAUAAUUGAUGGUGUUCAUUAACACUGGCCUAUACAGCUGCGAUAUUCUCUUCAGUUCGCACUCUACGUAAGCGUGUUGGUGGUUUGAUGUCCAAUAAUGUAAAUUUGGUUCUUAAUUUAGUCACAAUAGCUCUAAUAAACGUUUCAGUGGGUCGUUUAAACUGACCAUAAAAUGGAAGAAGCGCGCGAUAAACUUUCAACAGAACACGCAUUUUUAUAAUAAAAUUCAAUGAUUUGCAAGCGUUGUUCGUUUGUAAGACGAUUCAUGGUUAAAUUAUAGACCAAACUGAAGAUGCUUGAUAGUGAAACAAAACACGAAACAUGCGUCAGCUGUUUAAACCAACUGUUUAAAAAGAUAAUAGGUAAAAAAUCAUCCGUUACUAAUGGUAGAUACCGCGAAAACUACGUGAACUACGACCACGAUUGAAUUCACCAUACCAUCGAUAAACACUGGUUCUUGAUGGAGCUUCAUCGCCAAAAAAUGAAUUAAGUUCAUCCAUGCAAUGUUGCUGAGUUAAUCCACGUCGAAAAUUGUAAAAAAUAAUCGCACGAAAAUGUUCACGAUUUAAUUCCAUUUUUGGACCGAGAUGAAUCUUUUAAGUUACUGUAAACAACACAAAUAGCGCUGGUAUUUCAAAACGUUCUGAGUACGUAAAAGCCAAAAAGUGUCAAACUUUGCGAUACAGCUGUCAGUUGCCAGAUUGCAACACCAAGGUUGCCAAAUCCCGAAAUAUAAAAGGCACCCCUCGUACAUGUAUAUAAAGCGGUGCAUUUUUCGAUUGCAUCGGUCGCCUAAGAUACGUUAUUUAUGUAAGGGGUACUCAAGGUACCCCUCAAGUCAUAUCAUGAAUUUUCACAGGUUCCGAUAUUUCAAGAAACAAUGUAUGAGAACGAAAAACAAGUUGAAGAUAAACUCUCAUUAAUUUAUGCGAUUAAAGCUGAUUGGGUCCCGAUUUCUUUAAACUACCUUAAAUCACUUAUGACUAUAUUUACAAAUGCAUUUUUGAAGUAAUUUUAAAGAGAGGGGGUUUUAUAUUUCACUAAGUAAAAUACAGGGUCCGGCACUCGAAGUGCAACCAAUUAGAAAAGCCAUAAAUUAGCUUUGCAAAAUUACUUUUAUUCAAUUCAAAGUAAAAAAUGAUCAUCUUUUCCCUUAACUAUGGCCUUUAGACGGUCCAGAAACGAGUCGCAAGCUGCCCGAAUGUGGCUUGCAGGUAUUUUGGCCCACUCGCGGACAAUGGCUUAUUUCAGCGCCUCGAGACUGGUGAAUCUUUUAGUUCGGACCUUGCUCUCCAAAAUGGCCCAAAGAGAAUAAUCCAUCGGAUUCGCGUCUGGUGUAUUUGUGAGCCAUUGUGUGGAUGUUAUGAAGCUUGGAACGUUGUUCUUUAGCCAUUCUUAGUUCACUCGAGCUUUGUGAGACGGUAACGAGUACUGUUGAACGUCCACGGUCUGCCACCGAAAUGUUUGUCUGCCCACGGAUUCAAAGCCACCUAGAUAAUACGUUCCUGACCACAUUUCGCAUUUACCUUGAUGCCAGUCUCGAUAAAAACGAUUGGAGAGAGCCCAUUUGCGUUUAUAGCGGCCCAAACCAUUACCUGUGGCGGGUGUUGCCUCUUGGUGGUCAAUCGUCGAUUCGAAUUCUCUUAUGAACGUCUCGAAAAUGGUUUGAAAAAUGGUCAGAUAACACAAUGUACGGAAAUUAACCGCUUUCGGCCAAGCGAAGCAACUCUUUAACGCUCUCAAGUCUAACGUUGCUGCUUUGGUAUGAGAUCAUGCGCCUUUUAGAUCUUGUAAGGCUUGAUUUUGAGAUCAUUUUUCAGUAUGCGGCGGAUGCUACGCUCAGAUAUUUUCAGUUCUUUCGCCAUUUGAUAGGCACUUCGUGGGGAAUUUCGCUCAAGGCGCUUCUUCACUUCUUGAACCAUUUCACGUGACGUUUCAGUCUUCUAAUGACCACCUCCAUGACGUUUCGCCAUGCUACCAGUAUCACUGUUAUGAGUAUUGGUGCGAUAAACAAAAACUUUAUUUAAUUGAAGGCUUAAGCUCACGAACAAUCGCUGGUUGUGAUUUUCCAGCCAAAUAUAAUGCAAUCACACUAUUACGUUUGAAAUCCAUUACUGAUUGUCUUUUUUCGCGUUCACUCUCGACAAAAUGCUUCCGCGCGCUUGUUAACAAUACUCUGGACGGCCAUUUAGCCAACUAACAGACAGCUGCGCGAGCAGUCUGAAGUUGGUAACACGUCGAGUGCCGGACCCUGUAAAUAGCUGUUCCUUUUAUCUUAACAUUUUCCUCUGCGGCCAUAACCAAGUGAAUAAAAAAAAUCACUCGUUUAAGCAAAGUAGGUUUCAAUUUUCACCGAGAAUCGAGAGAAGAUUUUUAACAAUCACAUUUGUCAGAACAUAACUAAAUGGUUAGCAAGAACAAGUAUAUUUGAUAAGUAGGAUCCCAUAAGGGGAACUGAAUGGGGCACUACAUUUUUAUUUGUAGUUGGACUCAAAAUCCCACGGCGGAAAAAUUUUUGAAAACUACGAGGAGUCGGAAUCAAAUUAUAGUUUUGGUUUUUGUUUUCGUGCCUGAAAUGUCCCAAUAGAACUAAUAAUUGGGAUUUGUUUUGUUUUAAUUCAAAAAUGUUCUGUUUUGAUUUAUUAUAAAGUUUUUUUAGGACAUUGAGAGGAUUUCAUACAAGGGGGUAGUAUAGACUUCGAUUUCUAAUUCAUCUUUCAUCAUAAAUUUCAUUGAAAUGGAAUUUACCGAUGGUUCGUUAUCGAUUACUAUUACGGAACAUCGAAGAAAAAUAUUAUAGCUCUUAAGGGUCUCCUAACAUCUAACAUAUUUUUACCUGCAUUUAUAGUUACUAAAGUGCUAUGGAUAAACGUUUUCUAAUAUACCCAUUAUCCUUUCAUCGGUGUGGAUGGAUUUAGGUAUCUGCUUGGUUGAACACGUUAAUCGGUACCUCCGCGCAGGGUAUUAGAUUAUGUCCUGAACUCUCGUCGCUAUGUGUAGUGGAUGUAAGCGAAUUUAUUUGAACGGGUAUUCUUGAUAGCGCAUCUGCGACUACAUUCGAUUUUCCAGGCUUGUAAAUAAGCUCGUAGAUAUGUUCUUCCACGAUGGCUUUCCAUCUUUUCAUUUUACUGCUCGUAUUUUUGUGGCUCAGGGCAUAUGUAAGAGGUUGGUGGUCAGUGACUAUCUUUAUUUUCUCAGAGCCAUACAGAUAACUGCGUAAAUGAUUAAGAUACCAGAUUAUAGAAAGCAUUUCUUUUUCGUUAACGGCAUAAUGCUCGUCUGCUUUGCUUAGAGUUCUUGUCCGGUGAAAGGACAGCUCCCAUAGCAAAAUCGGAGGCAUUAGUGGUCAAUUCGAAAUCUUUCUCGAAGUUCUGGUAAGGAGGGACAAUAUCUUUUGAUAUUAAUGAAUUUUUAAUAUUAUUAAAUGCGUUUAAAGCUUCUUAAUCGAAUUUUAUUUCGAUCUUCCUAUACUGAUUUUUUGAAACAUUCCCUGCUUCUCCACGAAGGAGUAGGGUUAAAGGCUUGGCUAAUUUAGAGUAGUCCCUAAUAAAACAACGGUAAUGUCCUGACAUACCUAGAAAUGAUCUUAGUUCCUUUACAUUCUUUGGCAUUGGAAAUUUUGCUGCGGCUUCCACUUUCUUGGGAUUGGUUUUUAUACCAUCGGGAGUAACGACGUAUCAACUUCCUGUUUCGCAAACUCGCAUUAAUCAACCUGUAUUUUCAUAUUAGCUCUUCUUUGGUUUUACUGAAUAUUAUUACAUCGUCGAUAUAAACGUAGCAUCUAACUUCAAUGUGCUGGCGAAGGAUGUCAUCUAAUGCCCUUUGAAACGUAGAAAGUGCAUUUUUAAGCCCGAAGGGCAGUCGGAGAAAUUCCUAUUUUCCGUUAUUCACAGAAAAUGCUAUUUUCUCUAUGUCAGAUUCGCGACGGGGUAUUUGAUGGAACCCACUCUUAAGAUCAAUAAAAGUAAAUAUUGUAGUUUAUUGUUUCCUAGGUUGGCAAGGGCCUCAUUGAUUUCGGGUAUGGGGUAUUUGUAAGGGCGUUAAGUUUCCGGUAAUCAAUAACCAUUCGAUAUUUAAUUUCGCCUGAAGCGUCAGCUUUUUUAUUAACUAUCCAGACCAGGUAUUUGUAAGCAGAUUAAGGUCUCCUUAUUAUUCCAUUAGCGUCCAUCUUCCACUCCAUCUUUGACUUGGCGUUCAAUCUCUUCUUUUAAGGCCAUUGGUACGCUUUAGAGUAGACCGAGGUAUCUGUCGUUGUUCUAAUCUCCCCUUUGACGAGCGUAGUAUAGGUCAGUUUUUCGUCUGGGUCCAAAAAUAAAUUUAGGCAUUUUGCUAUUAUGCCAUUGAUUUUAAGUUUUUGUUCUUCAGAAAGAUAGGGGAUCCUUACAGUCUGUUAAAAAGAUCUUCAUUUCGGAUUGGGUUCCUAAUUCUAGUUGAUUGAAUAUAAUUUCUGUUGGGCCCAGUAUCUAUUAAAAAGUCUAGUACGUCUCCACUUAUGGAUAUAAAUUCGUAGUAAGGAAGUGAGUUAGUCUAAAAUAUGAAUGGUAUCGAGGUUGUAGCAUUCCUGUCCAUAAUUUUUGGUUUCAAUUUUUUGUCAUUGAAUUAUUAUCUGAAUUUGGUAAUUGGCUUGGCCGUUCCAUAGUUAUUGGGAUUUUUAUUUUUCCCGUAUAUGUUGUCAGGAUCUUCAUAUGUUUGUUGCUCAUUUGGAUUUACUGAUCCCGUAUCGGUAUAAAAGUUCAUUUGCAUCUUAUUAGGUUGAUGUAUAUGUUGAUAGACUUUUUGAUAAAACCUCAGGAUGUCGUCGUUUCUUUGAGUCAAAGUUGUCAUUUGGUACUCGAGGUACUAUAUACGUCAAAUGACGUACUAUAUGACUCGAGAAUAGUAUCUAGACUGGCUUUCGCAAUGUCCAUAAAUAAAGCUCAACGACAAUCAUUAGCUGUAGCAGGAGUCAAUCUAACCAACUCAUGUUUUACCCAUGGCCAAUUAUAUGUAGCCUGCUCCAGAGUUGGCGCACCGAAAAACCUUUUUAUUUAUACUCAAAAUAAUAUAACAAAAAAUGUUGUAUAUCCGAUCGUUUUAAAUAAUACCUAAACUGACUUAAAAAAGUUAAAGUUGUUUUAUUUACAUUGCAUACUUUUUGAUAGAAAUGUGGGGUGAAACCCACGGGUAUGAGCUAGUAUUAUAUAAACUUUGGUGUCCGACUUUUUGUUAUUUUAUAUUAUGUAAAUAUGUGUCAUGCUAAUAUGCAUUGUCUACUCAUAAAUUAUACUCAAUUUCGUAGAAAUUUUCGCUUGUCAGCAAUGGAGUGGGAACUAAGGUUGUGGUAAAAGUGCAAGUGAGAUUUACGAAUUGCUGAAUGUUUGUUAGACGCACGAUCAAUCGUUUUUCCCAAACGUCUGAAGGGCAGACAGAAAAAGAGGGGAUCGACCUCGUGCGGUUCGAGAAAGAAUUCGCAGAAGUCCCAUUAUAUUUAUACAAUACCUAUAUAUCUAUAAUAUUAAAAUAAGUCGGGUUUUCCUUCCUGACGCUAUUACUCCAGAACGCACGAACCGAUUUCCACGGUUUUGCGUUCGUUGGAAAGGUCUCGUGCUCCGUGAGGUUUAUUGCAUGUACUCUGCUCAGUUAAUUUCAUGUGACAUUUAUUAUGCGCACGUUCUUUCAAACGUUAACUUAAAACCGGUAUUGUGUUCACUGUGAAAUUGUGAAAUUGAGGUUAAAGCUAUUCAUUUCCUAACAGUUCAAUUGGAUACCAUCAAAUCAAUCACGCGUAUUGUGCAAAUUUUUAUUCAACUUCAACAGCAGCAGUUGUGAUUAAGGUGUCCAAAAUGCCGAGAGGGGGAGACGUGCGAACAUCGGCCGCCGCACAAGACGUGCAAGCUAGCAACAAGUGUAUUCACAGCACUUAAGCGAAGAAAGACAAAAUAUAAUAAGAGAAAAUGCCCGAUUGAGACAACGCGCGAGCACACGAAGAUCAUUGGCAUCAUACAAUCGCUUGCCAUUCCAAUAUGAUCCCACUGCGAACUACAGUGAUGAUGACAAUUUAGAUAUUAUACCAAUAACGACUGUAUGCCAAUAUUGCAAUGCGUUAAAGUUCAAAAGAGAAACGGCUGGAUUGUGCUGCGCGAGUGGAAAAGUCAAACUGGAUCCAUUACUUACACCAUCACAGCCACUGAAACCAUUGUUCGAUGGAACUGAUUCCGAUUCCAACCAUUUUCUUUAACGCAUCCUUGAAUACAAUAACUGCUUUCGCAUGACUUCCUUUGGAGCUAAUAUCAAUCGAGAAGGCGGCUUCAUGCCGACUUGCAAGGAGUUACAUCUCUUCAUUUCUGCGAAAAAGGGGUUAAGACCGCGGCAAAGUGUACCAGGGGGAUGUCUUAGAAGGCACGGAGAAUCAGUUGAUCAGAAUUCUCUUCAAUGGAGAGUGUCGGAUCUUACAGCAAGAUUCAGCUGCAGCCCAUAAGGUAACCAAGCAAUAUAUCUUAUUCUUAGUUCAUAGCCGCAGAAAAUUAGCCAUUGUAUCCAUUGUACUACAUUGUGGUCAGUUUUGAGGAACAUUGCCUGUCUAAGACCUCGCAGAAAUUUGGAGAGUCCCAAACAAUCUUUGGUUCGAGCAGCGACGUUAAUAUAUGUAUAGGGUCCGCCAUAUAACUUUACGGAAUAAAAAAUGCCAUAAAAAAGAAACUACUCAAUAUUUUUCCAAACUGUUUGUUUUAUUUUAAGGUACAAUCCUUCCGGUUAAUGAUGGAAUACAACUUCAUUCAAAUGGCUGCCUCGGCUACCAUACCAAGGUCUUUACGCAAAAUUCGUCUCAAUGAUGUCUCCGAAAUGUCCAAUUGUUUAGAACGACGGUGAACUGAUGUUCCUGGUGAUUCACGAACACUCUCGGCCACAGCAGCAAUAUUUUCGGGUGUACGCACGGUUUUUGGUCGGUCACGCGUUGGUUUGUCAAUAAGCAACCCAGUUUCUCUUACUUUUUUCGCAAAGUAACGCACAUACGCUUCAUUCGGUGCUUUUCUUCUUCCCAUUGCCGUACGUAAUUUUCGUACACAUUCUGCAACAUUACCAUGAUUUUCUAAGUAAUGUCGAAAUAUUUCCCAGCGUUCUUUGAGCGUAUACACAACCAUUUUCGUUCAGCGGAAGAAUAAAACUAAUUUUCUGUCAAAUCAGAUGACAGCUCAGUGUUACCAUUCUUCAAAUGAUACCUAGUUCAAAUCCGUAACGAUAGAUUGCGGGCCCUGUAUAUGGAAACCGUGCGUGCUGCAAUAGCUGAAUGACCUAAUCGUUUCAAGGCUUGUGUAAAAGCAAAUGGUGACUAUUUCGUAUGAAAAUUAAAAUUUGUUUAAUACUUACUUGAUUAAAUAAAACUAACUUAAUUAAAAAUGUAAUUAUAGUCUCAUAUCCAUAACGGAUUUAACUUGUAACAGAACUUUUGGCAGGACUAAGUACAAUAUAUAAUAUGUAUAUGAAAUGUAAAUAAUCUCUCUCGUAAACUGUACAGCAACUUAAUAUCACUUUUUUCGAUUCCUUGUUCAUAACUAAUUUGCAUUCGAUGGUACGAAAAUUUGUAGAGAAUAUUUAUUGUUUUGUAGCUAUUGUGAAUGAUCCAAAUUGGGAAAUAAAAAUUACUGUAUGCGACCAGAUUAAUAGUGUUUUAAAGAAAAUAAUUAGACUAUUGUAUGUGGGCCGCCGGCCGCUAAACGCUAAGUGGCUGAGUAUACAAAUAAAAUCAAGGCGCAUCAGUAGAAUAGCUCAUUUAUUUGCGAUUUGUUGGUUUCAAUGUCAAAGUGGCACAAAUGGAGGAACCUGCAGUUUUAAGCCGACUAAAAACGGCAAAUAGUUUUUUAUGAAGAGUUUUUUCAUGGUAGAAAUACAUUCCGAGGUUUGCCAUUGCCUGCGACCACUGUUAAAUAAAAUUUCUUCUGUAAAUUAGAGUUUCAUGCACGUAUAUUCGAACCUGUGCACUUCCGAAUGGUAGUCCCGCAAAAAUCAUUCGGUUACGGCGACCGUUCAACUGCUUGAUAUACAAAUAAAUCGAAACAAAAUGGACAAACUCUAAGUAAAUGUCAAAUGCAAUUUUUUCUUGUGCUCUUUUGCAAGUCGAAUACAAAAGAAUACAGCAUAUGCAAAUAUAUAUAAAAAUAUACAUCCCAUAGUUAGUUGUCACCUCUAUACUUCCGGCAUGGACUUCUAUGGACUAAGCCACUGGUCUUAUAUGGUUCUGGAUCUUCAGACCUCCUCGAAUAUUAUCAAAAAAAAAAAUAAGGUUAAACUGAUUUUACAAUUUUAAUCAAACGAUUAACGACAUUUAACAAACGCAGCCGAUGGCACAUAGCUAACACAAGUUAUUCUAAAAUACUCGUUCUGUGCUAUGGUUUCAUAACCCCUUAAUAGCAGGAAGAACACCCUCAGAUAGUACAUUUGACUUUUUCUAAAUUCAUUUUACCCCAAACAUCAAGCGAAUAUUUAGUGGUAGGAAUUAUGCUAGAAUUUUAAAACUUUUUAUACAAUCGUUUCAAGACCAAUCAUCCCUUUUCCGAAAUUGCUUCUUGUUUAUUCAUCGGAAUGUUAAAAAUACUUUUUUUGGCAAGUCUGAGCUGAACCUUUUCAAAAAACAUUGAUCCCAAUCGUUGGGCAUUUUUUAAAAUGAGACGUGCUUAUAAAUAAUUAUCAGAUAAAACCGCAAUCAAACACGUGUGUACGAGUAGUAGUUAGGACAUAAUUUGAUUGAAUGCAGUAUACUUAUAUGUAUACCUAUACAUACAUAUGUGGU